rnacentral:tRNA from 1 species
GCUGCGGUAGCUCAGUGGUAGAGCACACCCUUGGUAAGGGUGAGGUCAAGAGUUCAAUCCUCUUUCGCAGCACCA